GACCUCGAAUCAGGUAGGACUACCCGCUGAACUUAAGCAUAU
rnacentral:rRNA from 1 species